rnacentral:tRNA from 1 species
GGGGAUUUAGCCUAGCAGUAUAAGCACCUGCCUUGCAAGCAGGCAGUCGUGAGUUCAAUUCCCG